GAUGAACGCCAGCGGCAGGCUUAAUACAUGCAAGUCGAGGGGCAUCGCGGGUAGCAAUACCUGGUGGCGACCGGCGCACGGGUGCGUAACGCGUAUGUAAUCUACCUUUAACCGGGGAAUAGCCCAGAGAAAUCUGGAUUAAUGCCCUAUAGUAUUAUUGGAAGGCAUCUUUCGAUAAUUAAAGCUCCGGCGGUUUUAGAUGAACAUGCGUGUCAUUAGUUAGUUGGCGAGGUAACGGCUCACCAAGACUACGAUGACUAGGGGGGCUGAGAGGAUGAUCCCCCACACUGGUACUGAGACACGGACCAAACUCCUCCGGGAGGCAGCAGUAAGGAAUAUUGGGCAAUGGAGGCAACUCUGACCCAGCCAUGCCGCGUGAAGGAUGACGGCCCUCGUGGUUGUAAACUUCUUUUGUACGGGAAUAACCCUCCGAACGUGUUCGGAGCUGAAGGUACCGUAAGAAUAAGGAUCGGCUAACUCCGUGCCAGCCGCCGCCGUAAGAC
rnacentral:rRNA from 1 species